UACAGAGGUGGCAAGCGUUGUUCGGAAUUACUGGGCGUAAAGGGCGCGUAGGUGGCCUUCUAAGUUGAACGUGAAAUCCCUGGGCUCAACCCAGGAACUGCGUCCAAGACUGGGAGGCUUGAAUCCGGGAGAGGGAUGCGGAAUUCCAGGUGUAGCGGUGAAAUGCGUAGAUAUCUGGAGGAACACCGGUGGCGAAGGCGGCAUCCUGGACCGGGAUUGACACUGAGGCGCGAAAGCCAGGGGAGCAAACGGG
rnacentral:rRNA from 1 species